rnacentral:lncRNA from 1 species
CAAAAGUGAGCUUAAAAUACCAUUGAAUCCUGCUUUUAUUUAUUUUCAAUAUUAUUGUAAUCCAACUUCAAAACUUAUCAAGAUUUCUCGAAUAUGAACAACAGUAAUGAUGAUGGUAAUCGGUCCAAUAACACCUGUUUACGAGUUUUUCGAGAGCGAAACUGUUUUCUACUUGAAGCAUUCCUUUUAUGGGCAUUUAUCUGUCUUCCCAUGAAUAUAAUAUCCUUUUUUUUAUGGUUAGAGGCUCCUACAUACGACCAUUCUGCGGAAUAUAUAUCAACUGUUGAUAGCAAUACGACGCAGAAGAAUGAAAGUAUACUAUCUGCAAGCUUUGUUCUUCCAAAGGGAAGUAGAUAAAGAUAUCGCAAUAAAACAUGUAUCUAGGAAUUUUCCU